GUCUCUCCAAGAUGGUUCCUGGUCGUUUCGCUGAAGUUAAGCAAAGUUAAAUAUCUUCAAUUGAUGGAUAGAUACAAAAGAGCUCAGGACUACAUUGAGCAUAACAAACUUUGGAAAAACACUACAGAAACUUUGAAAAGUCACAAUUUAAGUGAUUUAUUUCCGAAUCUGAAGAUUGUGGAAGUUCCGUUGCAUUUUUUUGUUUCUCUUGAAUCAUAUACUUUUAGAAGGUUGAUAAACGAACAUCCAAAAAUCAAAGGAUUGAUUGGACUUUAUGAACCUGUUGAGAACAAGUAUAACUUGGAAAAUAUCGAAAUGAUUUCAUCAGAUUUCAAAUUCGAAUUCAAAAAAGUCUU